rnacentral:rRNA from 1 species
UACGAGGGGGGCAAGCGUUGUUCGGCAUUAUUGGGCGUAAAGGGUGCGUAGGCGGUUUUGUAAGUCUUGUGUGAAAUCUUCAGGCUCAACUUGAAGACUGCACGAGAAACUGCAGGGCUUGAGUGUGGGAGAGGUGAGUGGAAUUCCUGGUGUAGCGGUGAAAUGCGUAGAUAUCAGGAGGAACACCUGUGGCGAAAGCGGCUCACUGGACCACAACUGACGCUGAUGCACGAAAGCUAGGGGAGCAAACAGG